rnacentral:pre_miRNA from 1 species
ACAAUAACAUCGGAAUCGUCGGUCUACCGAGCAAUUUCACCCGCUCGGUUGAAGGUUUUCUCUUAAUCUU